rnacentral:rRNA from 1 species
GUGGGGAAUAUUGGACAAUGGGCGAAAGCCUGAUCCAGCCAUGCCGCGUGAGUGAUGAAGGCCUUAGGGUUGUAAAGCUCUUUCAGUAGGGAAGAUAAUGACGGUACCUACAGAAGAAGCCCCGGCUAACUUCGUGCCAGCAGCCGCGGUAAUACGAAGGGGGCUAGCGUUGUUCGGAUUUACUGGGCGUAAAGCGCACGUAGGCGGAUUGGUCAGUUAGAGGUGAAAUCCUGGAGCUCAACUCCAGAACUGCCUUUAAUACUGCCAGUCUAGAGUCCAGAAGAGGUGAGUGGAACUCCUAGUGUAGAGGUGGAAUUCGUAGAUAUUAGGAAGAACACCAGUGGCGAAGGCGGCUUACUGGUCCAUUACUGACGCUGAGGUGCGAAAGCGUGGGGAGCAAACAGGAUUAGAAACCCCAGUAGUCC